GGAGUUGAUCGACGGAAGCCUUCGGGCGGAAGAUGAUUAACUUAGCGGCGGAUGGGUGAGUAACGCGUGGGCAACCUGCCUCGAAGACCGGGAUAACAGUUCGAAAGGGCUGCUAAUACCGGAUGUGGUCAAGUGUCAGCAUGGGCAUUUGAUUAAAGGGGAAACCCGUUUCGAGAUGGGCCCGCGUCCUAUCAGCUAGUUGGUGAGGUAAAGGCUCACCAAGGCAAUGACGGGUAGCCGGCCUGAGAGGGUGACCGGCCACACUGGAACUGAGACACGGUCCAGACUCCUACGGGGGGCAGCAGUGGGGAAUCUUCCACAAUGGGCGAAAGCCUGAUGGAGCGACGCCGCGUGAGCGAAGAAGGCCUUCGGGUUGUAAAGCUCUGUCUGGAGGGACGAAGAAAGUGACGGU
rnacentral:rRNA from 1 species